GGCCUUAUGGUCUAGUAGCAUGAUUCCUCCUUUGGGCUGUGUGGUGCACAUGGAGGAGGUCCUGGGUUCAAUUCCCAGUGAGGCCC